UGGUGAGUCAUUUAGUGGGGAGUACGUGUCACUCCAUGAAGAAACACAUAUAAACAUUUGGCUAAGGAACAAUUCACAUUUAGAUUUCAUUUUUGCAAAGAAAAGCAAAGUUAAAAAAAAAAAAAAAAAAAAAGUAUAACUUCCAUGGCUGCUCUCGGCCAGCCAUGGUUAAUGAGCAAAAUAAAUUUUGUUGCUUAAUUGAUCAAGUUCCAAGUGAUAUACAAGUUCAAGGAGGUGAUAGCAACAUUGGAUAUUGAAUUGAGGAAGAAGAAAUUGCGAAAUUGGAACAAUUAAGAGUAGAAAUUCCUCCGAGAAAAUUUAGGCUAAAAGAGCGACAAAGCGAACGACUUUGCAGUUAGUCGUCAACAGCCCCAGAUUGUUUGGCAGGUUAAGUGUAUAGCUAGGAUGCUUGGACGUCAGCUGGGAUUGGCAAGUUCCACCUCAUUCUGGAGCUGUGCUGAGUCAUGUAUAGAUAUGUAUGAUUACGGGUUUGUCAGGGUCCUGUCCUGACUCAUAAUGUUCAGUUUACUUCUUAGAGACUUCUGCAGACAGUGUCUUGUGGUAUGUUUGUCGAGGUGUCGACAAAGUGAUAUCAAUUGAGUCAUU